UAUUCAUGUGCUGUUGUGAGUGUGCUCAGGGUUUUGUUCACUUACAUCUGGUUGUCUUGAAUCACAGAGUUGCAGGACUGAGAUGAAAAGCCUAUUUGUUUGGCUUGAUAGCUAGCUAGCUAGGGUAUUUGGAUUUAAAUAAUGCAGCACUGGCUUUUUUUGUUUCAUUUGCUGAGAAUGACAACAACAACUACAUGCAGUGUCCGGGGAUAGCAGAGAAGGGACUGUUCCUAACCAGUCGAUGUGUGAUGGCUUUUCAACGGUUUUUCAGCAGCCGUGGCAUCACCCAAGUGGGUGCCACAUUUUCAACAAUGGAUGACCAGUACCUGUGGAGGAACCGCUCCUGUGGAGUAACUGAAUGUCGGAGAAGCAGGUGUGGUGCACUGACAAAGAGCUCAGGGCCUGUUUUGUCAGACUGUCUUUGUUUCUCUCUGGCUGUACCAUCGAUGCCCCUUCCACUCAAGCUAUACUGCCUUUCCAGCCACUGCCUCAACUCCAUUUCCAUCACCCGAAACCGACUGCUAGAAAGACUUUUCAAUCUUCAUCGCCAUCAAAGAGGACCACUUUUCUUUUAGGGACCACAAUGGAAAUAAGUCUCUAACUUGUUUGAGAUGUCCCUGUCACGUUUUUAAAAUCAAAAACCAAAGUCUGCAUGAAGGUAACAGCGCUCACUGUUGCCCCCAGUGGCCAGUUUCAACAUCAUCUCCCGAUGUCCUCUGAAAUGGAUGGAUGUCGAAUACUGAUUUGUAUCAUACGUAACCUGCUUGCUGUCACACACUGUGCUAUUCUCCUUCUCUGAUCUCUCCCCCUCUCCAGCCAUCUGUGCUAAAAACCAAUUAACCAUCACCAUCAUUAUACAUUAUGAGCACCACUAAUCUUCUGGCAACGUGCCUAAUAAACCAUACAGAAUUACA